rnacentral:rRNA from 1 species
AGAACGAACGCUGGCGGCAUGCCUAACACAUGCAAGUCGAACGCUUCCGGGGCUUCGGUCGCGGAGGAGUGGCGCACGGGUGAGUAGCGCGUGGGAACCUGCCCUGUUGUGGGGGAUAACCGAGGGAAACUUCGGCUAAUACCGCAUACGCCCCGGGACUUGGUCUUCGGAUUAGGUCUGGGGGGAAAGAUUGAUCGCAGCAGGAGGGGCCCGCGUCGGAUUAGCUGGUUGGUGGGGUAACGGCUCACCAAGGCGAUGAUCCGUAGCUGGUCUGAGAGGAUGAUCAGCCACACUGGGACUGAGACACGGCCCAGACUCCUACGGGAGGCAGCAGUGGGGGAAUAUUGGACAAUGGGGGCAACCCUGAUCCAGCAAUGCCGCGUGAGUGAUGAAGGCCUUAGGGUUGUAAAGCUCUUUCGCCCGCGACGAUGAUGACGGUAGCGGGAGAAGAGCCCCGGCUAACGUUCGCGCCAGCAGCCGCGGU